rnacentral:rRNA from 1 species
GGGGAAUCUUCCGCAAUGGACGAAAGUCUGACGGAGCAACGCCGCGUGAGUGAAGAAGGUCUUCGGAUCGUAAAGCUCUGUCUUUUAGGGCGAACGAGCUAUAGGUGAAAAAUCUAUAGCAAUGACGGUACUAAAGGAGGAAGCCACGGCUAACUACGUGCCAGCAGCCGCGGUAAUACGUAGGUGGCAAGCGUUGUCCGGAAUUAUUGGGCGUAAAGAGCGCGUAGGCGGGAUAACAAGUCUAUCUUAAAAGUGCGGGGCUCAACCCCGUGAGGGGAUAGAAACUGUUAUUCUUGAGUGCAGGAGAGGGAAGUGGAAUUCCCAGUGUAGCGGUGAAAUGCGUAGAUAUUGGGAGGAACACCAGUGGCGAAGGCGGCUUUCUGGACUGUAUCUGACGCUGAGGCGCGAAAGCCAGGGGAGCGAAC